rnacentral:misc_RNA from 1 species
GACAUUGUAUCCAACAAGCGCCCCUGCAUUAAAUAUUUCUCAGGCUAGUUCACAACAAAAAAAUGGCUUUUCCGAAGUUUGUGGAUAACAAAUUGGGCUAAUAGUCUGAAAAAUAAAAAUCAUAACUUUCCAUGCUAAUCUUAUGUUUUAAUUUUAUUGACUACAUUUGUGAGUUGCUGAAUUUAUUUCAAUUAUAUCCAUUGGUCUAGAACAUUCGUCCAUACAAACAUGUCACUAAUAUGGAAGGAAAAUAUGAAGAUAACUUACUAAAUUGGAAGAAAUGGUUCCAAUUGAGUCCUAAAAGCCACCUAAUGAUGGGGGUUUGCAAAAUUCUUCCUUCAGGAAAGUGGUUUAAAUGCCUCUUGAGAUAUUUUACAAACUCCAUCGUUUAGUAGCUUCUAGGGCUCAAGUGAAACUACAUCAUCCAAGGACCAUGUUGACUAUUUUUUAGCACAUUGGAAGUUCACCUCAAUAUUAUAUGAAUAUAGGCACACACCUUAGACCUCUAUGAUAUAAUUGAAACAAAAUUAAUAACUUAAGAACCGAAUCAAUAAAAAUUAUAGGUAUCAGCGGUAAUUAAAGAAACAAAGCAAAGUUCAUGAUUUUUGAGACCAUCAGGCCUGACAAACCAUUAGGCACAACAUAAGCAGUACAGAUCAACCAGUUAAGCUGUUGUCACAACUAAAGAUGCAUGAUGUUUUAACAACAAAAUUUUCAGAUGUAAAUUUAUUUAGACAGUGAACUUGCAAACUGUGAAUCUGUGAUUAUGUUGAUGACAGUACAAAGUAAUCAACAGAAAUGAAUGAUAUAACUUAGUUUAAUGAAAAUAAGCCACAGCAUACACAACUGUUAAUUAACAACAUGAAACCUCUUCAAUAUCAAAUCGUGGAAAUUUGUUGCUGGAAAAGGGAAAGACAGUAAUAUCAUAUCAAAUUUUGGACACUAGUUAAUCGCCUGCAGUGCAUGGGUAAGUAAUACAUUAUUCGUUUAUUUUGAUACCAAAUAUUUUGUAUUUCUGAACCAAAUACUAUACUCUAUAUAGUAAAUAUAUGGUUGUAUAAUAGAUAAAAUAUUCAACAACCUUGAUGGCCAAAAACAACAUAUGUUGCCCAAUUUACUUUCAAGGAUGGCAUUACUGCAAGUCCCAGUCACAUAUAGGAGGACUAGGUUCAGGCAAAAGCCAGUAACAGCAGUUAGGGAUGUCUGAUAGCAGUAAGAGUUGUAGCCGGAAUUGUUAGCAGGUUGUUACAGGUGGUUACAAGCUGUUAAUGGCAGUUAGAAAUGUUCUAGUCAGUUAGAAAGCAGUUAAAAUACCUGGAUAAAUAGAAGCUGAGGCUUCUUUAUAUGGCACUCAACAAAUAUCAAAGUAACUUCUAUUCUUUAUUAGAUUCUCAUCUAUUCCUUCCUAUCUUUCUAUUUGUUCUAUUUCUCCCUAUUUAUUUCUCAAAUUCUU